rnacentral:lncRNA from 12 species
CAAUAAUUUAUCAGUUAAGAAGUUUGCAUUUCUCUCUGUAAUUUUUUUUGCUAUUUUGAGGCAGCAAAUGUGUAAAUGGAGAUUUAUAGUUCUCUUGUACAAUUGAAAGUUACAUGCAAUAUGAAUGUUUAUGUCUUAUCUUGUUUUGAUUAUUCAUGUUUUUUUUCUUUACAGAAUAAGGAAUAAGUGUUUGGACCAUACAAAUUUCUAAGAGACGUGGACUGACAUUCGCCAUAAUAAUGGACAUCUGCUCAUGGACAGGUAACGUUUUUAAUGUGUGACUGUGUGUUGUUGGGAAGUAAAUGUGUCGGUUGCCAUCGUUUUCUUUUUGAAGGGGUUACACCUUCAAGAUUAUAGAGGAUCUUUUAGUUUUCAGUAUUUAAAGGCAAAACUUUAACUGAUGUCCACAUUAUCUAUUUUUAAAGGUUUAUAAUGUUAUUGUACAUACAGUAUAGAGUCUUUGUUUAUUUCUGUCUUUACAGAAUAGGGGAUAAGUUUGGACCAUACAGAGUUUUGGGAAACUUAAACCAACGUUGGACAUCUGCUCAUGGACAGAAUAAGGGGUGAGUUUGGACGAUACAGAGUUUUGGGAAACAUCUGCUCAUGGACAGGUAAUUAUAAUGUGUUUAUGUGUGUUGUUGGGUAUUGAAUGUGUAGGUUACCAUCAUUUUCUUUUUGAAGGGUGACGCCUUUAAAAAGCAAAUGAUGGUAACCUAAGUAGGUGGGGAAGGGACGGCGAGUGUGAAAUUUUAUACAGCUUAAAAAAAUUUUUUUUCCGUCUGGCCUAAAGCAUAACCGCUGCUGGACAUCAUGCUGGAAGCUCCAGGGGGAGACCGCACUGGUAUCCCCCUCCUUUGGGUGCACCCUUCACUCACACCACACCAUUCAUUCAUAUCGCAGAGAUCUGGCUGGGAUCGAACCAGCAACCUCUGAAACCGUGAGGCAGCGCUCAUACCUGUGAGCCACAGAUCUCUUGUCCUGGCAUCUGAAGGAACUUAUACUUCUGUGCAUUUCAAAUAAAGUAUAAAAUUAAGGCUUUAAAGCUGUGAUGUAGAGGUGGGAUUUGAACCCACAGCUCUAGCGCAUCCAUGUGUGCAAUUAGCGUGUGUUUAGCCACCUGCACCACUGUGGCUUUCACAGUAAAGGCUAGGGUUUGAGGCACUUUGUUGUAUAUAAUGCAACAUGGAAUUUUUAACCUUAGCAAUAGUGGGAUUUGAACUCAGGACUCCUUGAUUACAAAGCAACACUUUACCCGCUGAGCUACUGAAUCUCAGAGGCUGUUGCAUAUUUUUGGUUGGGAAUAUGAUAAAAAAAAAAAAAAAAAACAAGCUAUGAAAAUACAUAACAUUACUAAUGCUUGGAUUUGUACCAAGAGUUUCAUAUACUGUAGGCAAACAAUCAUCCUCUGAGCCAUAGAUUUCAGGUUGAGCUUUUUAUUCUGUGUUUGUUUUGUUAGAUAUGUUGACCCAAAUUGUUGUUAUAAUAUGCAGUGGUGGUAUUUGAACCCAAGACUUUAGCAGUAAAUUAGCAAUAGUGGGAUUUGAGCUCAGGACUCCUUGAUUGAAAAGUAAUAUGUACAAUAUAUAUGUGGUGGAUGGAUGAAAAGUGCAGUAGUGUUUAUAUUAUGUAGUAUUAUAUAUUAAGUGCUUGUAGGUUAAAAGUGCAGUAGUAUUUAUAAUUCCAAAAAGUUCUACAAACUCACCAUUACUAGGUUAAACGUCACAGCAUUUUGGUAAAGUCAUCUCUCUAACAAUUUAUUAUUUUAAGUUACAGUGCAUGGUCUUUUUUUACACACUGUGGUCCACGUCAGUGGUGGAUCCUGACAUCUGAUAGUCCACCCUGAGUGCCAUCCCAAAAUGUCAUUCACAUUUCAUUUCACCUCUUCAAAAAGAAGUAUUUGUUUUGACGUGCACCCCACAUUGUUUAUUUAUUAACUUUGAAUAUUAAGAGAAUAAUAAUGUUGAUACAGAUACAGAUGCAAGAUACAGAAUAAGUUCAAAGGAUGUUGCACACUGCUCACCAUUUUUAAAGUACAGAAUGACUUCACCCUGAGCUGAAAGGUUGUUUUUCAAUAAUAUAUUUGAUGACUGACUGCCAGUUUCCUAACAGCAUAAGAAAGGGCAUAUACAAUCCCUGCUGUUCAAAUACUCAAAUCAAUUAAUUUCCACAUGCACAGCACGCAGUGCUAGCAGAUGUGUGUGCUUUUCUACUUUCCUCCACAUAUUCAACUUACAUUGACACAUUUCAUGAAUUAAUUCACAUGAGGAAAAUUAAUGUGAUAGAAUUCUGAUUCACACAUUUUCUAUGCAUUGUUACUGCCACUAGUCUUAUGGAAGCAUAUGGAUAAAGUCAAUGUGGAUUUGAAAAUGCAUUCUAAGCUGAUCACGCUUACUUUUUUUUAGUAUAUACUGUUACAUUAAAUUAAAUAUAUAUA